rnacentral:rRNA from 1 species
AGAGUUUGAUCCUGGCUCAGGAUAAACGCUGGCGGCGCACAUAAGACAUGCAAGUCGAACGGACUUAACCAUUAGUUUACUAUUGGAGCGGUUAGUGGCGGACUGGUGAGUAACACGUAAGCAACCUGCCUAUCAGAGGGGAACAACAGUUAGAAAUGACUGCUAAUACCGCAUAUACCCAAGUGUCACAUGGCACAAUGGGGAAAGGAGCAAUCCGCUGAUAGAUGGGCUUGCGUCUGAUUAGCUAGUUGGUGGGGUAACGGCCUACCAAGGCGACGAUCAGUAGCCGGACUGAGAGGUUGAACGGCCACAUUGGGACUGAGAUACGGCCCAGACUCCUACGGGAGGCAGCAGUCGGGAAUAUUGCGCAAUGGAGGAAACUCUGACGCAGUGACGCCGCGUGCAGGAAGAAGGUUUUCGGAUUGUAAACUGCUUUAGACAGGGAAGAAACAAGACAGUACCUGUAGAAUAAGCUCCGGCUAACUACGUGCCAGCAGCCGCGGUAAUACGUAGGGAGCGAGCGUUAUCCGGAUUUAUUGGGUGUAAAGGGUGCGUAGACGGGAAAAUAAGUUAGUUGUGAAAGCCCUCGGCUUAACUGAGGAACUGCAACUAAAACUGUUUUUCUUGAGUACUGGAGAGGAAAGUGGAAUUCCUAGUGUAGCGGUGAAAUGCGUAGAUAUUAGGAGGAACACCAGUGGCGAAGGCGGCCAACUGGGCUUUUACUGACGCUGAGGCUCGAAAGUGUGGGGAGCAAACAGGAUUAGAUACCCUGGUAGUCCACACCGUAAACGAUGAUUACUAGGUGUGGGGGGACUGACCCCUUCCGUGCCGGAGUUAACACAAUAAGUAAUCCACCUGGGGAGUACGGCCGCAAGGUUGAAACUCAAAGGAAUUGACGGGGGCCCGCACAAGCAGUGGAGUAUGUGGUUUAAUUCGACGCAACGCGAAGAACCUUACCAGGUCUUGACAU